GACGAACGCUGGCGGCGUGCCUAAUACAUGCAAGUCGAACGAGAGCAACCGGUGCUUGCACUGGUCAAUCUAGUGGCGAACGGGUGAGUAACACGUGGGUAACCUGCCCAUCAGAGGGGGAUAACAUCCGGAAACGGAUGCUAAAACCGCAUAGGUCUUCGAACCGCAUGGUUUGAAGAGGAAAAGAGGCGCAAGCUUCUGCUGAUGGAUGGACCCGCGGUGCAUUAGCUAGUUGGUGAGGUAACGGCUCACCAAGGCCGUGAUGCAUAGCCGACCUGAGAGGGUGAUCGGCCACAUUGGGACUGAGACACGGCCCAAACUCCUACGGGAGGCAGCAGUAGGGAAUCUUCCGCAAUGGACGCAGGUCUGACGGAGCAACGCCGCGUGAGUGAAGAAGGUUUUCGGAUCGUAAAACUCUGUUGUUAGAGAAGAACAAGUGCUAGAGUAACUGUUAGCGCCUUGACGGUAUCUAACCAGAAAGCCACGGCUAACUACGUG
rnacentral:rRNA from 1 species